AUUCCGGUUGAUCCUGCCAGAGGCCACUGCUAUGGGGGUCCGACUAAGCCAUGCGAGUCAUGGGGCGCCUUGCGCACCCGGCGGACGGCUCAGUAACACGUCGGUAACCUACCCUCGGGAGGGGGAUAACCCCGGGAAACUGGGGCUAAUCCCCCAUAGGCCUGAGGUACUGGAAGGUCCUCAGGCCGAAAAGGGCUUUGCCCGCCCGAGGAUGGGCCGGCGGCGAUUAGGUAGUUGGUGGGGUAACGGCCCACCAAGCCGAAGAUCGGUACGGGCCAUGAGAGUGGGAGCCCGGAGAUGGACACUGAGACACGGGUCCAGGCCCUACGGGGCGCACAGGCGCGAAACCUCCGCAAUGCGGGCAACCGCGACGGGGGGACCCCCAGUGCCGUGGCAUCGCCACGGCUUUUCCGGAGUGUAAAAAGCUCCGGGAAUAAGGGCUGGGCAAGCCGGUGGCAGCCGCCGCGGUAAUACCGGCGGCCCGAGUGGUGGCCGCUAUUAUUGGGCCUAAAGCGUCCGUAGCCGGGCCUGUAAGUCCCUGGCGAAAUCCACGGCUCAACCGUGGGGCUUGCUGGGGAUACUGCAGGCCUUGGGACCGGGAGAGGCCGGGGGUACCCCUGGGGUAGGGGUGAAAUCCUAUAAUCCCAGGGGGACCGCCAGUGGCGAAGGCGCCCGGCUGGAACGGGUCCGACGGUGAGGGACGAAGGCCAGGGGAGCGAACCGGAUUAGAUACCCGGGUAGUCCUGGCUGUAAAGGAUGCGGGCUAGGUGUCGGGCGAGCUUCGAGCUCGCUCGGUGCCGAAGGGAAGCCGUUAAGCCCGCCGCCUGGGGAGUACGGCCGCAAGGCUGAAACUUAAAGGAAUUGGCGGGGGAGCACUACAAGGGGUGGACGUGCGGUUUAAUUGGAUUCAACGCCGGGAACCUCACCGGGGGCGACGGCAGGAUGAAGGCCAGGCUGAAGGUCUUGCCGGACACGCCGAGAGGAGGUGCAUGGCCGCCGUCAGCUCGUACCGUGAGGCGUCCACUUAAGUGUGGUAACGAGCGAGACCCGCGCCCCCAGUUGCCAGUCCUUCCCGCUUGGGGAGGAGGCACUCUGGGGGGACCGCCGGCGAUAAGCCGGAGGAAGGAGCGGGCGACGGUAGGUCAGUAUGCCCCGAAACCCCCGGGCUACACGCGCGCUACAAUGGGCGGGACAAUGGGAUCCGACCCCGAAAGGGGAAGGGAAUCCCCUAAACCCGCCCCCAGUUCGGAUCGCGGGCUGCAACUCGCCCGCGUGAAGCUGGAAUCCCUAGUACCCGCGUGUCAUCAUCGCGCGGCGAAUACGUCCCUGCUCCUUGCACACACCGCCCGUCACUCCACCCGAGCGGGGUCUGGAUGAGGCCUGGAUCUCCUUCGGGGAGGUCGGGUCGAGUCUGGGCUC
rnacentral:rRNA from 1 species